AUCCAGUUGACGAGUCCGAAAUAGGACGAAACGCGCGUCCUGGAU
rnacentral:hammerhead_ribozyme from 1 species